UUCCGUAGGUGAACCUGCGGAAGGAUCAUUACUGAAAUACGUAAUCCUGAAAGGUAAUGGAAGGGGAGGCCGUAAAAAACCCAAAGAACCUCUCUCACCCUUGUGUAUCUUACCACGUUGCUUUGGCGGGCCGACCCGGUU
rnacentral:rRNA from 1 species